rnacentral:rRNA from 1 species
UACGAAGGGGGCUAGCGUUGCUCGGAAUCACUAGGCGUAAAGGGUGCGUAGGCGGGUCUUUAAGUCAGGGGUGAAAUCCUGAAGCUCAACUCCAGAACUGCCUUUGAUACUGAGGAUCUUGAGUUCGGGAGAGGUGAGUGGAACUGCGAGUGUAGAGGUGAAAUUCGUAGAUAUUCGCAAGAACACCAGUGGCGAAGGCGGCUCACUGGCCCGAUACUGACGCUGAGGCACGAAAGCGUGGGGAGCAAACAGG